ensembl:snRNA U6 U6 spliceosomal RNA
AUGCUCACUUCAGCAGUACGUAUACUAAAAUUGGAAUGAUACAGAGAAGAAUAGCAUGGACAAUACACAAGUUCGUGAAAUGUUCCAUAAUUUU